UCCCAGCUCCUGGCUUCAGAAUGCUCAAAGACAUGGUGGUAUACUUUAAAUGACAAAUUAGUUUGGCUGAUACCAAAGGAAAAGCAACUGUUGCAGGAUGUCAGGGACCAAAUGGAGGGACCAGCUGAAGCCAUGGCAGAAGAAUGUGGAUUGUGAAGAUUUCACGGACAUUUAUUAGUUCCCCAAAUUAAUAUUUUUAUGAUUUCUUAUGCCUGUCUUUAUUGCAAUCUCUAAGCAUAAGUUGUGAAGACUUCAUGGACACUUAUCACUUCCCCAAUCAAUACCCUUGUGAUUUCCUAUGCCUGUCUUUACUUUAAUCUCUUAAUCCUGUCAUCUCAUAAGCUGAGGAGGAUGUAUGUCACCUCAGGACCCUGUGACAAUUGCAUUAACUGCACAAAUUGUAGAGCAUGUGUGUUUGAACAAUAUGAAAUCUGGCCAACUUGAAAAAAGAACAGGAUAAAAGCAAUGUUCAGGGAACAAGAGAGAUAACCUUAAACUCUGACCACUGGUGAGCCAGGCGGAACAGAGCCAUAUUUCUCUUCUUUCAAAAGCAAAUGGGAGAAAUAUCACUGAAUUCUUUUUCUCAGCAAAAAACAACCCUGAGAAAGAGAAUGUGCCCCUGAGGGUGGGCCUCUAAAAUGGCCCCCUUGGGUGUGGCCAUCUUCUAUGGUUGAAACUGUAGGGGUGAAAUAAGCCCCAGUCUCCCAUAGUUCUCCCAGGCUUAUUAGGAUGAGGAAAUUCCUGCCUAAUAAAUUUUGGUCAGACUGGUUGCUCUCAAACCCUGUCUCCCAAUAAGAUGUUAUCCAUGACAAUGGUGCCCGAAACUUCAUUAGCAAUUUUAAUUUCACCCCGGUCCUGUGGUCUUGUGAUCUCACCCUGCCUCCAUUUGCCUUGUGAUAUUCUAUUACCUUGUGAAGUAAGUGAUCUCUGUGACCCACACCCUAUUCAUACACUCCCUCCCCUUUUGAAAAUUCCUAAUAAAAACUCUCUGGUUUUGCGGCUUGUGGGGCAUCACAGAACCUACCGACAUGUGAUGUCUCCCCUGGAUGCCCAACUUUAAAAUUUCUCUCUUUUGUACUCUGUCCCUUUAUUUCUCAAACCAGCUGGCGCUUGGGGAAAAUAGAAAAGAACCUAUGUGAAAUAUCGGAGGUGAAUUUUGCCUGAUAUCUGGCUGAAUUUACCCCAAUAAACAACCAACAAAUUAUAUGGAAUCUCAAGGGACAAUAAAGAGCCAAAAAAUGUUUAACAAAAUAAAUAAUGUUAGUGACCUCAUAUUUUCUGAUUUCAAAGCACAUUAAAAGCUACAGUAAUAAAAACAAUUUGGUUCUGACAUAAAGACAGACUAGUUUUCCAAUAAAACACAAUGUAGCACAGAUGCAAACCUCACACAUAUGGGCAAAUAGUUAUUGGAACACCUAUAUUCAUUGAAGCAUUAUUCACAAAGGCC
rnacentral:lncRNA from 1 species